rnacentral:lncRNA from 1 species
UUUCCUAUUAGUUCACAGCAGAAAGAACGAGACGCUGGCGGCCCUUCUUUCAGACUCCAACACCACUUUGGGACAAGCCUUCUAAACAAAAUGCCUUUGUCUGACAGUCACAAUUCAGUGCUUUUGGGAGCCUGCCUGUUGUUACCACUGCGAUCUGGAAGAACACCAAGCAUAAUCUUUCAAAGAAAAUCAGCGAAAAGAUAAAGCAAAUCAAAGGGCAAACCUCCUAUUGAGUUUCAUUCUUAUGUGAAUGUAACAUCCUUCCCCAUAAGGUUUCAAAAUAAAAUGCUUAUGCAGUUUCUUAAGAAUUGAUGGCUCAGAAAGAUAGAAAAACUGGCUAGGAUGUUCUGUUAUACCAAAAUUUCACCAAAUCCUCAAUGUCAUAAAUAAAUAAAUUCAAAGAGAAGACAAACCGAUGUCCUGUCUUGCUUUCUCCCGCCUUUGGGCAUGAAUUUGCUAUCUGACCACUUGCUCCUACAUACCUGACAAAAGAAACCCAUCAGAAUGACAUUUUGUUUAGCAUUAACACAAAAUCCAAAAUUUUAACAAGAAAUUACAACAUUCUCCUUUUAAAAAUAUGAGUAAGUGCCACAGGGGAAGGGGGGCAGGGAGAGAGACAAUGUCCUCCAGGAUGUUAGAGUGCCCACAGCUUGUCACAUAUUUUUAUUGCUAAGUAUUCAUUCCCACUUCUAUAUAUAUCGAAAAUAAUGGGUAAAUUUCAGAAUCCACAGAACUCCCCAUGUAAUAUGUUUUUAAGGACAAACACUCAGGAAAACUACUGCCAGCCCAUGGCCGGCUUUGGUACAGCUCACAAGCUAAAAAUGGUUGUCACAUUUUUAAAGGGUUGUAAAAGAGUAUGCAUCAGAGACUGUAUGUCUGCAAAGCAUGUUAUUUACCAUCUUGCCCUUUACAGAAAAAGUGUGCCACACCCGCAGCAAACUAUUAAAAAGGCUCAAGUAAUAAUUCUUAAUUUUGUUUAAGCCAAAUCAUGAAUGUGGAGCAAAAUUAUGAAUGUGCUUUCAGGCAAUCUCUUCCAGGGGUCAUGGACCAGAGACUCAGGGGAAGGUGGAAUGACCGCCCUGAGAACAGAAGGGUCUACACGGGAAUCUACUCAUUCAAUAACAGAUGGUUAAUGAGACCAUUCUUAAGACUUUAUAAGAAGACAAAUCUUGCAUCCUUUGGGAAAGAGACCAAUACACUGUUCCGUUUGGAGAAUUUCUAACUUACAAAAUUAGGAAUAACCACUUGCCCUUACAAGGGGGUGUUAGUUGAAUCAAGUGUGUCAAAGGAUAUGACAGAAAGUAUCUAACAGGGGACGGGAGGGAUCUUUACUACUAUCAUGUGUAGUUCUCUGGUCUUCUUGUAGAAUACACAAAAGGAAAUACUGGCCGAAAAAAAGCCAAAGCAAGGCAGAAGGCUUUAUAAAAUUCUUACUUUUUCUUUCUACAUGCACAAAUACAACCUCAUACAGACCAGUCUGUAUUGCUUAAGACUAAAGAUUUCUGUGUUUUUCAAUGAAUAAAGGAAAGACGCCUUUUUGCAGGGAAUGCUUAGCCCAAAUUUCUAACUUACAAAUAAAGAGUCAUUAAAGAGAGGGAGGAAAAAAAGGGUACCGGGAAAUUCUAGAUGAUGUAACUUCAAGUUCCUGCCUCAUGAUGGCCGACUCAACUCAGUCUGGAAAUCUGGCAUAUGUGAUUUGCCAGCUCAACUGCAGUUGCCUUUUAAGGAGCUCAAAAUUUCAUGCACUCAAGGGUUUAUUUGUGAAGCCAGUCACUUUUUAGGAACUAAUCAUAUAUACAUAAUAUUCUAAGUACAACAUGUAUCCAAGUUAUUACAUCAUGCAAAAAUGCACGAAGUAGAGCUGCCAGAUAAAAGAGCACACCCAGAUAAAGUUGAAUUUCAAAAACACAGCAAAUAACUUUUCAUACCAGCAUAUCCCAAGUACUGCAUGGGACACAAUUACACUAAAAAAAUGCUGUAUAUCUGAAAUUCAACUUUAACUGGGCAUCCCGUAAAUUUAUUUCCUAAAUCUGGUAACCCUGCCAUGAAAACAUGAAGGCUAUUCUGAUAUCCACUAAACAGCUGCCAUCUUGUAACACGCCAUGGUCUGGAGUUGGAGAAAUUGCUAAGGGUGACUCAGACUCUCAUUAAGUCAGCAUUUCGUGCAAAGAAUGGUCUAGAAAGAUAGUUAAUACCCACCAGGAGAUUCCCAUUGCUUUGCUUAGACAACCACAGGGAAAUAAAAGGCCCAUGAUAGGGAAAUCCUCUAGAGCUUACAGUACUGCUACCACUUCUCAUGAGGUCACACUGAACAAAAGAGCCCAGUGGCAGAAGAACACUGCUGGGGAGCUAACUAAAAGGCCCACUCCACCGCACGUACGCACGCAUAUCCCAUGUCCCUAAUAUGUCCAAGUAGUAGUGUUAUUGUUUGUUUGUUGUUAUGGGAGAAAGAAAAGAGGAAAAAAAACCUCACAGACACUCCAGGGUCUGGAGAGCAGCCAGAAGCAGGGUGGAAAAACUCCACCCUGCGCUUCCCCCACUGGGGCUGCAGCUUUCGUGAGAGGGCACCAUGCCAGAACCCAGCCAUUCUGGUAGGUUUCCAAUGGAAGCGCUAACAGAACUUCACCGUAGGAGCCAUUAGAGAGGCUGGCUGGGGCAGGGAGCUCUGAGAAUAUGGCUGGCCAAGUAUUCAAACAGGAAUAAGAUAGUAAGCAUAAAAAUUCUGAACCACUGUUCAAACAAAUCCAUAAAGAAGUUGGUUUCCAUUAACAAGUGUUAUUCAAACUCUAGCUUUCUGCCCACAUAUGUGUACGGCAGAGAUAUUGAAAACAAUUGCCACAAAGAUAGCUCUUUUGUUAAAAAUUAAACAAAAGAAAGGUACUCGGGUGCUGGGUACCCUUUUGAGAAAACGCUUCAAAUUCUCUUUCCCCUCCCAAACAACAAGAUCCAUUUUUACCUAGUUUUCAGGUACAGUUUUAUUUUUCAAGCUAGGUCACUUAUCUGAGGGAAUAUACCAUUGCAUUCAUUUGUUUAAACUACGGCUCAAAUGACAAAAACAAUUACAGAUGCUCCUCCACUUAAGAGGGGGGUUACAUUCUGAUAAACCCAGCAUAAGUUGCAAAUAUCUUGUCAAAAUUGCAUUUAAUACACCUAACCUACCAAACAUCAUAGCUUAGCCUAGCCUGGCUUAAACACACUCAGAACACUUACAUUAGCCUACAGUUGGGUGAACGCAUCUAACAUAAACACUAUUUUAUAAUAAAGUAUUGAAUAACUCAUGUAAUUUAUUGAAUACUGUACUGAAAGUGAAAAACAGAAUGGUUUGCACGGGUACUCAUAUGGUUUUUGCCAAAUGCAUAUCACAUUUGCACCAUUAUAAAGCCAAAAAAUCACAAGUCUAACCAUUGGGGACCUUCUGUAUACAGCAGGUCUUUGAAUAACGUUUCAUUCAACAUCAUUUCAUGAUAACAUUGAUAAGAGAAAACAAAAUUGACUCCUGGCCAAGGCCUCUGUGUGGAGUUUCCCCGUUCUCUUCUCCUCAUGUCUGUGUGGGUUUUCUCUAGGUACUCCAGUUUCCUCUCACAUCUGAAAGAUGUGCACAUUAGGUGCACUGGUGUGUCUAAACUGUCCAGUCUAAGUGAGUGUGGGUAUGUGUUUGAGUGUGCCCUGUGAUGGAAUGACAUCCUGUCCAGGGUGGGUUCCAUCUGUUCCUUGUAAUAUCAGGAUAGGCUCUGGCCCCCGCAACACUGAACUGGAAUAAUGGGUUAGAGAAUGAAUGAAUGAAUGAAUGAAUGAAUGAAUACAAAGUAUUGUAAAACAGAAAUGUGUAAAGUAUAUGGUAACCAUACAAAUGCACGAAACACAAAAGCGCGCAGAGAACCCACCAUAUUUAUUGUUUGUUUGUAAACUGUGUGGUGGCAGGAGAUGUUCCUCACAAUUUUCACUUCGCAAACAUUUAUUCCUUAAUUUAACCUGCCACCACCAUGACUGCUGUCACUCACUCACUGGGUAAAUAAUUGUCUUCCUUGUUUUUAUCAAUCUUUCUUAAAUGUGUGUAUAGCUCACAUUUAUUUCCAUGUUUACCAUUAGAAAUGUUUGGGGUCUUUGUUUAGAAGUUUGGUGAUGUUUUGGGGGCCUAAAAUAUGCCACAGGAAUUUAAUUCUAUUUAUAUCAAUUAGCCUAUGGUAAAAUUAGUUUCAUUAUACAUCAUUUUGCUUAAAAUAGCAGUUUCCAAGAACCUAUUGAUGACAUUAAGAAAGGAUUUAACUGUAUACAUAACAUUUUCCUUGGUAAGUUCAAUAGUGUUUUCAAAAAUAAAAUAUUCUAGCCGGGCGCGGUGGCUCACACCUGU